rnacentral:pre_miRNA from 1 species
AUUUGUGUCACUUGGGAGCUUGUUCAAAUGCAGAUUCUGAUUCACUAGGUCCAGGGUGGGGCCCAGGAAUCUGCAUGUCUAACAAGCUCCCAAAGUGAUGCUGAU